UUUGGAUCUUGGUUGCACUUGCCCAUGCUGUCUUCAUGGACAAAGGCCUCUGUUUUCCAGGUGGGGUUGAACAAUGGGAGUCCACUGUUGUACCAAAAAAGGUCUGUCAGCAGAGACCAAACUGAUUAAUUCUAUUUUAAUGAUUAUUGAAUAGUUUGGUUCUUGAAACUAAAUGAUUUUAAAUUGAACUGCAGCAAGUCAUUACUUCAACCUAAAAUUCCUGUUCUGUAAAUUCUCACAUUGAGCACAGGCACAUGCAAACAACUUGAAUUCGACAGGACUGUUUAAAAAAAAACAAUAGCCAACUUGUAUUUUUUAAAUCAGUCUUUUCUUGGAUUUAUCCAUGGUUUAUCUGCCAGGAGUCGAAUAGCUCUUACCUUGCCGCCAGGUGCUGCACAUCGACUGCUGGCCAUUUGUAUUUUCCAUGAGAAAGAAAAACAGUUCACACUAAAAUCUAAAAAAAUUGAAUAAGAGUUGGAAAACUAAGUCGGAGAACCACAGAAUUCAUACCACAGCACCUCCUCUGACAUGCUGAGAAUCACUGAGCUGAAGGCUGCCAGCAAAGCUACCUUGGCAUCCAUAACACCUCAGCGAUGUCACAGGUUAAUCACAUCCAUGGCACACGACAAUGUUUCAUGAAUGGAUAAUUCAAAAGUAGUGUAGCAACACAUUUAGACGGACAACAUAGUACUGGAUUGCUUUCCUCAGGGAAAAAUAAUUACUGCAGUUACUGAGUCACCACAUUAUUUUUGAAAGACUUCCUCAUUCACGACUUCAUAAUGCUGUUGUGCCCCUGGUACCUUCUUUAAAUUCUUUCCAAUACAAAUAUUUUGAAUUAUGGAGUACAGUGGGGGAAUCGGUCGAGCUGUCUACUUCACAGCUCAGAAGACCAGGGUUCAAAUCCCGGCACAGCGUUUCCAUGUUCUCCCCGUGCCUGUGUCGUUUUUCUCCAGGCACUCUUGUUUUCUCCCACAUCCCAAAAACAUGCAACAUUAAUUAAAAAAAAAAAAUUGCUCCUUGGUGUGAUUGUGAGUGAGACCGAUGUCAGUCUUCAUGUGCCCUGCUAUUGGCUUUCAACCAGUUCAGGGUUUAACCCGCCUCCUGCCCGUUGACAGCUGGGAUAGGCUCGAGAACUCCAGCAGAUAAGCAACUCAGAAAAUGGAUGGAUUGAUCUUUUAAAGUACAUUUGCAAAUCUUUGUAACCUAUUUCCACCACAGGACAAACCAGAAGUAACUACAGGAACAAGCAACAGACUUCACACAAGUUUGAACCUGACCCCUAAACUGUAACUGUGAGUUACACAAGCUAAACACUGGAGUACCCUAUUUUCCCAAAGAUUUUCAAAAAUCAUAAAAAUAGCCACAAUUGUAUUCAGUAGUUUUCAUCCAGUUGUGACCAAAUACAGCAUCCAGGCCUUUUUUGCACUGGGGCACAGCUGGAGGUAAUUGGAAGCGAUUAGCACCAGCUGUGAUUACUUUUCACCUGCUAUAAAAGCUCGGCUGGUCGCUAUCCUUCACAUCUGUCGCUGGCACAAUGGCUGAUGUUUGGGCCUUUGUGCUGCUUGGUCAUCCUGUCUUCAUGGACAAAGGCCAUUGUUUUCCAGGUGGGGUGAAACAAGAAGGGUCCAGAGACCAUAUUGAUCAAUUACAUGUUAGUAAUAAGUUUUUUUUUGUUGUUGUUUUUUUUUAUUUAUUUUUGCUACAGAUGUAUCUCAUGAUUGUUUCACUUACGAGACGUGUUAAACUCAUUGAUUCUUUGGAUUCUACAUUGACACUACACACUCCAGGUGAGACUGUUGGAUGACUUGGGGUCAUUUGAGCCAAACCAUACUUAACAGAUCUCACUUGUCACCACCAAAUAAAUAAAACUAGCAAGAUAGCAUUGGUCUUAUACCAAUGUGGACCUGUUUAGUUGUGAACUAUAACUAACUUAAAAAUUCCAUUUUUUUUUUUAUUUAUAUUUUAUAAAGUUACCUGUACUUCAGGGGCCUUGUCAGUUUUUGUUUUUUUUUUUUUUUAAUAAAUUGCCCAGAAAAAAUGGUCAACAUGGUUCUUUAACCUAACUUUCUGCUUAAAGGUAGCAAGAAUUUUUUUUUUUUUUUUUCUGCUCAAAUACUUGGUUCAUAACUGCUUCCACACCCGACUUCAUGUGAUUUAUAGAUUGGUAAUUAUACAAUGUGCUUAUCAAUGGCAUAUAUUUAAGACUAGUCUAUUUUAGUACCCCUUCAAUUCGGUUCAAUGAUAACUAAUGUAGCUUUUUGACAAGCCCAACCUGCAACCAAAGAGGUGAGCGGCAAGGGCCAACUGCACGACACGUUGAAGAUAACGUGAGCGGCAAGGGCCAACAGCACGACGCCUUGAGCUACAAGGUGAGUGGCAAGGGCCAACCGCAUGACCAACAGAGCAACAACAUGACCAAGGGUCAGCAUAAUGACUUUCAGCAGGUCCAGCAGAGUGUCAACCAAAACACCACAAUGAGCCACAACCAACAGCAUGAGUUCUUUCAACAACUCCAGAGUGUCACACUGGAUGAUGACCUCACUAAAGGCUUCAUUGUGAAUAUUUGAGGUGUACAGCAUGAAAGAGCUGUUUUAUGCAUCUUGUCUGACAAUAAUUUAAAUUCUUAACCGCACCAUAUUGUUUUUGAAAAUGGAACUGUUUUGUUCAGCGGUCUUAAAAUCCUUGCAUAACUCACUGCAAUGAUUCGAUGUAGUUAAGGUUAGUGCUUGUCACGAGGUCACGUAGCCAACUGUUGUAUUACGACAAAGUUGACUUCACAAUUUCAAUUGAUCCCAAUCUAUGGCAUGGAUUAGGCCCUACAGAGUGUUAUUGCACUUAGUCUAUAAAGUUGCAUGCUGAUCAAACUUUGUAUGACACUAUAGGCAUAGUGCUAAUUUUGGGUUAUUGCAAGUUGGAAGUGGGCUGAAAUCAGUUUAACAAUUUGAGAGCUGCUUGUAUAAUUUAUUUAAAACCCUUCCACUCACCACAGACUCUUUUUGAAAGUUAUCCACACCAAGGAUGUACAGGUGAAUCAAUUUAA